rnacentral:rRNA from 1 species
UGGGGAAUAUUGCACAAUGGGCGCAAGCCUGAUGCAGCCAUGCCGCGUGUAUGAAGAAGGCCUUCGGGUUGUAAAGUACUUUCAGCGGGGAGGAAGGGAGUAAAGUUAAUACCUUUGCUCAUUGACGUUACCCGCAGAAGAAGCACCGGCUAACUCCGUGCCAGCAGCCGCGGUAAUACGGAGGGUGCAAGCGUUAAUCGGAAUUACUUGGCGUAAAGCGCACGCAGGCGGUUUGUUAAGUCAGUUGUGAAAUCCCCGGGCUCAACCUGGGAACUGCAUCUGAUACUGGCAAGCUUGGGUCUCGUAGAGGGGGGUAGAAUUCCAGGUGUAGCGGUGAAAUGCGUAGAGAUCUGGAGGAAUACCGGUGGCGAAGGCGGCCCCCUGGACGAAGACUGACGCUCAGGUGCGAAAGCGUGGGGAGCAAACAGG